GGCAUGCCUUACACAUGCAAGUCGAACGGCAGCACGGGAGCAAUCCUGGUGGCGAGUGGCGAACGGGUGAGUAAUAUAUCGGAACGUGCCCGGUCGUGGGGGAUAACGUAGCGAAAGCUACGCUAAUACCGCAUACGAUCUACGGAUGAAAGCGGGGGAUCGCAAGACCUCGCGCGAUUGGAGCGGCCGAUAUCAGAUUAGGUAGUUGGUGAGGUAAAGGCUCACCAAGCCGACGAUCUGUAGCUGGUCUGAGAGGACGACCAGCCACACUGGGACUGAGACACGGCCCAGACUCCUACGGGAGGCAGCAGUGGGGAAUUUUGGACAAUGGGCGCAAGCCUGAUCCAGCAAUGCCGCGUGCAGGAUGAAGGCCUUCGGGUUGUAAACUGCUUUUGUACGGAACGAAACGGUGAGCUCUAAUACAGUUUGCUAAUGACGGUACCGUAAGAAUAAGCACCGGCUAACUACGUG
rnacentral:rRNA from 1 species